rnacentral:rRNA from 1 species
AUCUGCGGCCUUGUCACCCUGAACAAGCUCAUCCCAUCUGAUCUCGGAACCUAAGCAGGGUCGGGCCUGGUUAAUACUUGGAUAAGAGACCACCUAGGAAGACUAGGUGUUGUAGGCA